rnacentral:rRNA from 1 species
AGGACGAACGCUGGCGGCGUGCUUAACACAUGCAAGUCGAGCGGUAAGGCCUUUCGGGUACGACGAGCGGCGAACGGGUGAGUAACACGUGGGUGAUCUGCCCUGCACUUCGGGAUAAGCCUGGGAAACUGGGUCUAAUACCGGAUAUGACCUCAGGUUGCAUGACUUGGGGUGGAAAGAUUUAUCGGUGCAGGAUGGGCCCGCGGCCUAUCAGCUUGGUUGGUGGGUAAUGGCCUACCAAGGCGACGACGGGUA